UUCAUCCAUGUCCCUGCAAAGGACAGGAACCCAUUCGUUUUUAUGGUUGCAUAGUAUUCCGUGGUAUAUACGUGCCACAUUUUGUGUAUCCACUGUAUCAUUCAUGGGCAUGAGAUAUCCUCUUAACAUGUGAUCCAGCAAUUGCACUCUUCGGUAUUUAUCCAAAAGAGUUGAAAACUUGUGUUCACAGAAAAACCUGCACAUGGACAUUUAUGGAAGCUUUAAUCAUAAUUGCUAAUUUUAUUCCAGCUUUAUUCAUAAUUGCUCAAACUUGGAGGCAACAAAGAAACCAAAAUGUUCUUCACUAGAAAUGAACUAGCGGAUUCCAAAAUGUGUCCGGAAAUUUAAAGAACCCCAAAGAGCUAAGACAACUUGGAAAAAAACGGUGGAGGACUUACCUGAACUAUCAAGAUAGUGUGGUAUUGGUACAAUAAGAGAAAACUGGGUUAAUGAAACCUCCUAGAGGGUCUAGUAAUAAUCUCACAAACAUGUUACAUAUACGUAGUGGAUUUUUGAAUAAAGGUUCAAAGACAUUAAA